rnacentral:rRNA from 1 species
CAGCCGCGGUAAUUCCAGCUCCACAAGUGUAAAUCGUCAUUGCUGCGGUUAAAAAGCUCGUAGUUGGAUCUUAGUUACGUACUUUGAUUCGCCUUUGGCGUUAAUCAUUGUCGUGACUAUUUUGUUGGUUUUCUGUUGGUGGCUUCGGCUCCUUCAGUGGCUAGCGAGUUUACUUUGAAUAAAUUAGAGUGCUCAAAACAAGCGUUUGCUUGAAUGCUCGAUCAUGGAAUAAUAAAAGAGGACUUCGGUUCUAUUUGUUGGUUCAGGAACUGAAUUAAUGGUUAAGAGGGACAACUCGGGGGCAUUCGUAUCCCUGCGCGAGAGGUGAAAUUCGUGGACCGCAGGGGGACGCCCUAAAGCGAAAGCAUUUGCCAAGAAUGUCUUCAUUAAUCAAGAACGAAAGUCAGAGGUUCGAAGGCGAUUAGAUACCGCCCUAGUUCUGACCGUAAACUAUGCCAUCUAGCGAUCCAAUGGGGUAUUGUAGCCUUGUUGGGGAGCUUCCCGGAAACGAAAGUCUUUCGGUUCCUGGGGUAGUAUGGUUGCAAAGCUGAAACUUAAAGAAAUUGACGGAAGGGCACCACCAGGAGUGGAGCCUGCGGCUUAAUUUGACUCAACACGGGAAAACUCACCCGGCCCGGACACCGUUAGGAUUGACAGAUUGAAAGCUCUUUCUCGAUUUGGUGGUUGGUGGUGCAUGGCCGUUCUUAGUUGGUGGAGCGAUUUGUCUGGUUUAUUCCGAUAACGAGCGAGACUCUAGCCUGCUAAAUAGUGUCCAGAUAUAUAAGUCUGGCUUACUUCUUAGAGGGAUAAGCGGUGUUUAGCCGCACGAGAUUGAGCGAUAACAGGUCUGUGAUGCCCUUAGAUGUUCGGGGCUGCACGCGCGCUACACUGGAAGAAUCAGCUGGUCCUUCCAUUGCCGAAAGGUAUUGGUAAACCGUUGAAACUCUUCCGUGACCGGGAUAGGGAAUUGUAAUUAUUUCCCUUGAACGAGGAAUUCCUAGUAAGUGUGAGUCAUCAGCUCACGUUGAUUACGUCCCUGCCCUUUGUACACACCGCCCGUCGCUGUCCGGGACUGAGCUGUUUCGAGAAGAGUGGAGACUGCUGUAUUGGGGCUUUCGGGCUCUGGUAUGAUGGAAACCAUUUUAAUCGCAAUGGCUUGAACCGGGCAAAAG